rnacentral:rRNA from 1 species
AGACUGAGUGUUAGGCAAAUCCGGCACUCUUAAGGUCAAGCUGUGAUGGGGAGAGGAAAUUGUUUCCUCGAGUCGUUGAUUUCACACUGCCAAGAAAAGCCUCUAGCUAGAAUUGUGGUGCCCGUACCGCAAACCGACACAGGUAGUCAAGAUGAGAAUUCUAAGGUGAGCGAGCGAACUCUCGUUAAGGAACUCGGCAAAAUGACCCCGUAACUUCGGGAGAAGGGGUGCUCUUUAGGGUUAACGCCCAGGAGAGCCGCAGUGAAUAGGCCCAAGCGACUGUUUAUCAAAAACACAGGUCUCUGCUAAACCGUAAGGUGAUGUAUAGGGGCUGACGCCUGCCCGGUGCUGGAAGGUUAAGAGGAGUGGUUAGCUUCUGCGAAGCUACGAAUCGAAGCCCCAGUAAACGGCGGCCGUAACUAUAACGGUCCUAAGGUAGCGAAAUUCCUUGUCGGGUAAGUUCCGACCCGCACGAAAGGCGUAACGAUUUGGGCACUGUCUCAACGAGAGACUCGGUGAAAUCAUAGUACCUGUGAAGAUGCAGGUUACCCGCGACAGGACGGAAAGACCCCGUGGAGCUUUACUGUAGUCUGAUAUUGAAAUUCGGCACAGCUUGUACAGGAUAGGUAGGAGCCUGAGAUGCGUGAGCGCUAGCUUACGUGGAGGCGUUGGUGGGAUACUACCCUCGCUGUGUUGGAUUUCUAACCCGCACCAUUUAUCAUGGUGGGAGACAGUGUCAGAUGGGCAGUUUGACUGGGGCGGUCGCCUCCUAAAGAGUAACGGAGGCGCUCAAAGGUUUCCUCAGAAUGGUUGGAAAUCAUUCAUAGAGUGUAAAGGCAUAAGGAAGCUUGACUGCGAGACUUACAAGUCGAGCAGGGUCGAAAGACGGACUUAGUGAUCCGGUGGUUCCGCAUGGAAGGGCCAUCGCUCAACGGAUAAAAGCUACCCCGGGGAUAACAGGCUUAUCUCCCCCAAGAGUUCACAUCGACGGGGAGGUUUGGCACCUCGAUGUCGGCUCAUCGCAUCCUGGGGCUGUAGUCGGUCCCAAGGGUUGGGCUGUUCGCCCAUUAAAGCGGUACGCGAGCUGGGUUCAGAACGUCGUGAGACAGUUCGGUCCCUAUCCGUCGUGGGCGUAGGAAAUUUGAGAGGAGCUGUCCUUAGUACGAGAGGACCGGGAUGGACAUACCUCUGGUGUACCAGUUGUCGUGCCAACGGCAUCGCUGGGUAGCUAUGUAUGGACGGGAUAAGUGCUGAAAGCAUCUAAGCAUGAAGCCCCCCUCAAGAUGAGAUUUCCCAACUUCGGUUAUAAGAUCCCUCAAAGAUGAUGAGGUUAAUAGGUUCGAGGUGGAAGCAUAGCGAUAUGUGGAGCUGACGAAUACUAAUCGAUCGAAGACUUAAUCAA